rnacentral:rRNA from 1 species
UGCCUUUCCAUGCAGUCGUACGAGAGUUUUUAACUCAAGUGGCGGACGGGUGAGUAACACGUAAGAAUUUACCUUUAGGAGGGGGACAACAACGGGAAACUGUUGCUAAUACCCCAUAUGCUUUCGAGUGAAAUGGAUUUAUCCGCCUAGAGAGAGGCUUGCGGCUGAUUAGCUUGUUGGUGAGGUAAUGGCUCACCAAGGCGACGAUCAGUAUCUGGUUUGAGAGGACGAUCAGACACACUGGAACUGAGACACGGUCCAGACUCCUACGGGAGGCAGCAGUGGGGAAUUUUCCGCAAUGGGCGAAAGCCUGACGGAGCAAUACCGCGUGAGGGAUUGACUGCCUACGGGUUGUAAACCUCUUUUUUCAGGGAGGAAUAAUUGACGUUACCUGAAGAAUAAGCAUCGGCUAACUCCGUGCCAGCAGCCGCGGUAAGUCGGAGGAUGCAAGUGUUAUCCGGAAUUACUGGGCGUAAAGCGUCUGUAGGUGGUUUAUUAAGUCAAUUGUUAAAUCUUGAAGCUUAACUUCAAAAUUGCAGUCAAAACUAAAUAUACUUCGAGUAUAGUAUAGGUAAAGGGAAAUUUCC